AGAGUUUGAUCCUGGCUCAGAGUGAACGCUGGCGGCAGGCCUAACACAUGCAAGUCGAACGGCAGCACAGGAGAGCUUGCUCUCUGGGUGGCGAGUGGCGGACGGGUGAGGAAUACAUCGGAAUCUACCUUUUCGUGGGGGAUAACGUAGGGAAACUUACGCUAAUACCGCAUACGACCUUCGGGUGAAAGCAGGGGACCUUCGGGCCUUGCGCGAUUAGAUGAGCCGAUGUCGGAUUAGCUAGUUGGUGAGGUAAAGGCUCACCAAGGCGACGAUCCGUAGCUGGUCUGAGAGGAUGAUCAGCCACACUGGAACUGAGACACGGUCCAGACUCCUACGGGAGGCAGCAGUGGGGAAUAUUGGACAAUGGGCGCAAGCCUGAUCCAGCCAUGCCGCGUGGGUGAAGAAGGCCUUCGGGUUGUAAAGCCCUUUUGUUGGGAGAGAAAAGCAGUCGAUUAAUACUCGAUUGUUCUGACGGUACCCAAAGAAUAAGCACCGGCUAACUUCGUGCCAGCAGCCGCGGUAAUACGAAGGGUGCAAGCGUUACUCGGAAUUACUGGGCGUAAAGCGUGCGUAGGUGGUGAUUUAAGUCCGUUGUGAAAGCCCUGGGCUCAACCUGGGAAUUGCAGUGGAUACUGGGUCACUAGAGUGUGGUAGAGGGUAGCGGAAUUCCCGGUGUAGCAGUGAAAUGCGUAGAGAUCGGGAGGAACAUCUGUGGCGAAGGCGGCUACCUGGACCAACACUGACAC
rnacentral:rRNA from 1 species